rfam:TPA: Bos taurus chromosome 6, whole genome shotgun sequence.
UCCCUGGUGGCUCAGAUGGUAAAGCGUCUGUCUACAAUGCAGGAGACCCAGGUUUUAUCCCUGGGUUGGGAA